rnacentral:rRNA from 1 species
UAUAAGACUGGGAUAACUCGGGAAACCGGAGCUAAUGCCGGAUAACAUUUGGAACCGCAUGGUUCUAAAGUAAAAGAUGGUUUUGCUAUCACUUAUAGAUGGACCCGCGCCGUAUUAGCUAGUUGGUAAGGUAACGGCUUACCAAGGCAACGAUACGUAGCCGACCUGAGAGGGUGAUCGGCCAUACUGGAACUGAGACACGGUCCAGACUCCUACGGGAGGCAGCAGUAGGGAAUCUUCCGCAAUGGACGAAAGUCUGACGGAGCAACGCCGCGUGAGUGAUGAAGGUUUUCGGAUCGUAAAACUCUGUUAUUAGGGAAGAACAAAUGUGUAAGUAACUGUGCACAUCUUGACGGUACCUAAUCAGAAAGCCACGGCUAACUACGUGCCAGCAGCCGCGGUAAUACGUAGGUGGCAAGCGUUAUCCGGAAUUAUUGGGCGUAAAGCGCGCGUAGGCGGUUUCUUAAGUCUGAUGUGAAAGCCCACGGCUUAACCGUGGAGGGUCAUUGGAAACUGGGAAACUUGAGUACAGAAGAGGAAAGUGGAAUUCCAUGUGUAGCGGUGAAAUGCGCAGAGAUAUGGAGGAACACCAGUGGCGAAGGCGACUUUCUGGUCUGUAACUGACGCUGAUGUGCGAAAGCGUGGGGAUCAAACAGGAUUAGAUACCCUGGUAGUCCACGCCGUAAACGAUGAGUGCUAAGUGUUAGGGGGUUUCCGCCCCUUAGUGCUGCAGCUAACGCAUUAAGCACUCCGCCUGGGGAGUACGACCGCAAGGUUGAAACUCAAAG